rnacentral:rRNA from 1 species
GAUGAACGCUGGCGGCGUGCCUAAUACAUGCAAGUCGAGCGAACAGACGAGGAGCUUGCUCCUCUGACGUUAGCGGCGGACGGGUGAGUAACACGUGGAUAACCUACCUAUAAGACUGGGAUAACUUCGGGAAACCGGAGCUAAUACCGGAUAAUAUAUUGAACCGCAUGGUUCAAUAGUGAAAGACGGUUUUGCUGUCACUUAUAGAUGGAUCCGCGCCGCAUUAGCUAGUUGGUAAGGUAACGGCUUACCAAGGCGACGAUGCGUAGCCGACCUGAGAGGGUGAUCGGCCACACUGGAACUGAGACACGGUCCAGACUCCUACGGGAGGCAGCAGUAGGGAAUCUUCCGCAAUGGGCGAAAGCCUGACGGAGCAACGCCGCGUGAGUGAUGAAGGUAUUCGGAUCGUAAAACUCUGUUAUUAGGGAAGAACAAAUGUGUAAGUAACUAUGCACGUCUUGACGGUACCUAAUCAGAAAGCCACGGCUAACUACGUG